GUUUCCGUAGGUGAACCUGCGGAAGGAUCAUUGCACACACGAGUUGCAGCCAACCCGCGGCGAACGAACCCAUUGUCCCCUUCGGUGGGUCGUGGCGCCUCGCGGCGUCGCGGCCGGCCGCCUCCCUUCGUCACGAGCGAGCGGGCGAGCUCGCUCUCUCGCGGCGUUGGGUUUCCACGAUGCAUCCACCUUGACCGAAUGACUGAGUCCCUUUUUACUCGAUGGGAGUGAGUUCCGUCCCUCUCGGCUUGGCUUGCCUGCUGAGGGGGCCGGCGCUGGUUACCUUGCGAGUUGAAACCUUAACUUGAAACAACUCUCAGCAACGGAUAUCUUGGCUCUUGCAACGAUGAAGAACGCAGCGAAAUGCGAUACGUAGUGUGAAUUGCAGAAUUCCGCGAAUCAUCGAGUCUUUGAACGCAAGUUGCGCCCGAGGCUUGUCCAAGGGCAUUUCCGCUAGAGCGUCACCGCGCCCCCCCACCGCUCCACUCCCGCGAGGAGCUGGGUCGAGUGAAAGUGGCCGUCCCCGUGGGCCUCCUCCUCCUCCUCCCCCUUCGAAGGAAGGGAAGGGAAGGAAGGAAGGCCUCAGCAGGGUUGGCUGAAAUGGAAGGAAUUCGGCCGCCGUGGUGACACAGUCCGCGAUCAGGUGAUCCGGGCUCUUCCGGGAGCCCGGACUUUUUCCAAGUGCGUGGCUGCGUCCCCCAGUCGGUCGUGUUUCCCUCAUGCAGGUCGAGCGCGCCCCCGCGGCGCGCGUCACGCAUCAGACCUCUAAUCGGAAAAGACUACCCGCUGAG
rnacentral:rRNA from 1 species